UUACGGCCACAUCACGUUGAAAGACCGGACCCCCAUGUGAUCAUCGAAGUUAAGCGACCUCUAGCCUGGUCAGUACUUAGGUGGGUGCCCGCUUGGCAAAUAC